CUUGGUCAUUUAGAGGAAGUAAAAGUCGUAACAAGGUUUCCGUAGGUGAACCUGCGGAAGGAUCAUUAACAGGAUGGACCCGGCUCGCCGGUGCUCUGCCUACCUUUGCAUAAUCUACCUUUGUUGCUUUGGCGGGGCGCCUCACGGCCAGCGACUCCGGCUGCUGCGCCCCCGCCAGAGGACCACAACUCUUGUUUUUAGUGACGUCUGAGUACUAUACAAUAGUUAAAACUUUCAACAACGGAUCUCUUGGUUCUGGCAUCGAUGAAGAACGCAGCGAAAUGCGAUAAGUAAUGUGAAUUGCAGAAUUUAGUGAAUCAUCGAAUCUUUGAACGCACAUUGCGCCCUUUGGUAUUCCGAAGGGCAUGCCUGUUCGAGCGUCAUUACAACCACUCAAGCCUUGCUUGGUCUUGGGGCUCGCGGUCUCGCGGCCCCUAAAAUCAGUGGCGGUGCCGGUCGGCUCUACGCGUAGUAAUACUCCUCGCGACAGGGUCCGGACGGUGUCUUGCCAGCAACCCCUAAUUAUUUUCAGGUUGACCUCGGAUCAGGUAGGGAUACCCGCUGAACUUAAGCAUAUCAAUAAGCGGAGGAAAAGAAACCAACAGGGAUUACCUCAGUAACGGCGAGUGAAGCGGUAACAGCUCAAAUUUGAAAGCUGGCUCUUCUAGGGCUCGCGUUGUAAUUUGUAGAAGAUGCUUCGGGUGUGGCCCCGGUCUAAGUUCCUUGGAACAGGACGUCAUAGAGGGUGAGAAUCCCGUAUGUGACUGGGUGCUUUCGCUCAUGUGAAGCUCUUUCGACGAGUCGAGUUGUUUGGGAAUGCAGCUCAAAAUGGGUGGUAAAUUUCAUCUAAAGCUAAAUAUUGGCCAGAGACCGAUAGCGCACAAGUAGAGUGAUCGAAAGAUGAAAAGAAUC
rnacentral:rRNA from 1 species